rnacentral:rRNA from 1 species
CACACGACUCUCGGCAACGGAUAUCUCGGCUCUCGCAUCGAUGAAGAACGUAGCGAAAUGCGAUACCUGGUGUGAAUUGCAGAAUCCCGCGAACCAUCGAGUCUUUGAACGCAAGUUGCGCCCGAGGCCAUUCGGCCGAGGGCACGCCUGCCUGGGCGUACGC